rnacentral:rRNA from 1 species
GACGAACGCUGGCGGCGUGCCUAAUACAUGCAAGUAGAACGCUGAAGGAGGAGCUUGCUUCUCUGGAUGAGUUGCGAACGGGUGAGUAACGCGUAGGUAACCUGCCUGGUAGCGGGGGAUAACUCUUGGAAACGAUAGCUAAUACCGCAUAAUAGUAGAUGUUGCAUGACAUUUGCUUAAAAGGUGCAAUUGCAUCACUACCAGAUGGACCUGCGUUGUAUUAGUUAGUUGGUGGGGUAACGGCUCACCAAGGCGACGAUACAUAGCCGACCUGGGAGGGGGGACGGCCACAAUGGGACUGAGGCACGGCCCAGACUCCUACGGGAAGCAGCCGUAGGGAAUCUUCCGCAAUGGACGGAAGGCUGACCGAGCAACGCCGCGUGAGUGAAGAAGGUUUUCGGAUCGUAAAGCUCUGUUGUAAGAGAAGAACGAGUGUGGGAGUGGAAAGUUCACACUUUGACGGUAUCUUACCAGAAAGGGACGGCUAACUACGUG